CGCGAAUGGCUCAUUACAACAGCCACUGUUUACUUGAUCUUGAUUAUCCUACUUGGAUAACUGUGGUAAUUCUAGAGCUAAUACAUGCAACCAAGCUCCGACCGUAAGGGACGAGCGCAUUUAUUAGAACAAAACCAAUCGGGCUUCGGCCUGAGGUUUGGUGAAUCUGAAUAACUGAGCUGAUCGCAUGGUCUUUGUACCGGCGACGCAUCUUUCAAGUGUCUGCCUUAUCAACUUUCGAUGGUAGUUUAUGUGCCUACCAUGGUUGUAACGGGUAACGGAGAAUAAGGGUUCGACUCCGGAGAGGGAGCCUGAGAAACGGCUACCACAUCCAAGGAAGGCAGCAGGCGCGCAAAUUACCCACUCUCGGCACGAGGAGGUAGUGACGAAAAAUAACGAGGCGGUUCUCUAAGAGGCCCGCUAUCGGAAUGGGUACAAUUUAAACCCUUUAACGAGGACCUAUGAGAGGGCAAGUCUGGUGCCAGCAGCCGCGGUAAUUCCAGCU
rnacentral:rRNA from 1 species